GAUGAAGAACGUAGCGAAAUGCGAUAAGUAGUGUGAAUUGCAGAAUUCAGUGAAUCAUCGAAUCUUUGAACGCACAUUGCGCCCCUUGGUAUUCCAUGGGGCAUGCCUGUUCGAGCGUCAUUUGUACCCUCAAGCUCUGCUUGGUGUUGGGUGUUUGUCCCGCCUUGCGCGUGGACUCGCCUCAAAGCAAUUGGCAGCCGGCAUAUUGGCCUGGAGCGCAGCACAAUUUGCGCCUCUUGUCAUGAUUGUUGGCAUCCAUCAAGACCAUUUUUUUGCUCUUGACCUCGGAUCAGGUAGGGAUACCAGCUGAACUUAAGAAUAUCAAUAAGCGGAGGA
rnacentral:misc_RNA from 1 species